rnacentral:tRNA from 1 species
AGUGCCGUGGUGUAGUUGGUAAUCACGUCAAUCUAACACACUAAAAGUCUUCAGUUCAAAUCUGGGCGGUGCCA